AUUUGACCUCAAAUCAGGUAGGACACACUCUUCAC
rnacentral:rRNA from 1 species